rnacentral:rRNA from 1 species
UGUCCCACCUGACCCCAUGCCGAACUCAGAAGUGAAACGCCGUAGCGCCGAUGGUAGUGUGGGGUCUCCCCAUGCGAGAGUAGGGAACUGCCAGGC